AUGCGGAUCCGCAGGUCCGCCUCCCGCCUGCUGGGCGGCGCAGCCGCUGCCUUCGCCCCCGCCCCGGCCCCCUCUGACCGGCCUCGAUUCGAGCUGUUCCCGCCGCCGCCGUCGCCGCCGGCGACGGACCAAGCCCACGAAUCCGGCGCCGGGUUGGUGGCGCCCGAGGCCUCCUCCUGCGGGCAGCCUUGCUGCGAGCUCAGCAGGUCGCCGUGGGAACUCAUGGCCGAGCUCGACCUCUCGGACCCCGAGGUGGAGGAAUGCUUCGAGAAGACUUACUUCAGAACUACACGACGAGCUGGUUGGCUCUUCCCAUCCAGUAUCAGCAUGCCCAACGGCUCCAUCAAGGAGAAGACGACUGUAGAUAUGAUCGAUGGGGCCACCAACAUGGCUGCGAAAAUGAAGGAGGGGAAGAAGAAUGAGAGCAAGUCAAAGACGAAUAAGGGGAUCAAAGUGAAGAAGGGAGUGUGGACAUGCAAGAAGAGGGACGGCAAGAAGCCACAAAAGAAGAGGCCCGUCGUUGACAUGGGCGAAGCGUUCUACUACUACGACGGCUUUGGCCCAUCACGCAGCUCCAAGAGGCAUUGUAGAUCAAGCAGUGGUAGCAGUGUGCUGGAAGAACCUCCACUACCCAUUGAACAACAGAAAGAUGAGGCAUGCCCCCAAACACAAUUUGAUUUUAGUGCAAGCCAAGCUAAUGUCACCGACCAUCCGGCUGUGCCGACAUCAACACAUGUCGAGAAGCCUAGGCUCAAUUUGAGCAAUGCCAACAUUAUCAGCUACGAUAAGGAGAGCAGCAAUGACGACGCACUUGGUUGCAAUGGCAAACAAAUGUGCGACAUUAUGAUGAUGAACAACCCGUUCAAGAAGAGGUGGAGGAAGCCUGUUAAAGCCCGAUCGCUCAAGUCGCUAAUGUAA
rnacentral:rRNA from 1 species